CCGAGUUAUCCAACUCCCAACCCCUGUGAAUUAUACCUUUAAUUGUUGCUUCGGCGGGACUUCGCGCCCGCCGGGGACCCAAACCUUCUGAAUUUUUUAAUAAGUAUCUUCUGAGCGGUUAAAAAAAAUGAAUCA
rnacentral:misc_RNA from 1 species